rnacentral:rRNA from 1 species
UACGUAGGGGGCAAGCGUUGUCCGGAAUCAUUGGGCGUAAAGCGUGUGUAGGCUGCUACAUAAGUCGGAUGUGAAAGCCCCGGGCUCAACCCGGGAAGUGCACUCGAUACUGCGUAGCUUGAGUCUCGGAGAGGUUGGUGGAAUUCUCGGUGUAGAGGUGAAAUUCGUAGAUAUUCGGAAGAACACCAGUGGCGAAGGCGGCUCACUGGCCCGGUACUGACGCUGAGGUGCGAAAGCGUGGGGAGCAAACAGG